UUUUCCCUCAGAACCCAGAAUCUUCUGAUAUGGGUAGAUUGAGGGGAAGUCUGCUUGUUCAGAGAGAUUCAUGGACAUUUGCCUUUUACAGAACAAGGAAAAGAUGGUGGUUCUUGCAAAUGCUUCAGUAGCAUUUCACUUGUGACCUCAAGGCUCUCCAGAGCUGAGCAAAGAAGCUGUUCUGCAGUGAAAUCCAUUAAUGAGUAACACUUGCAGAGCAGGGAUUGCCUCUGUAAGAGUGGAACUGUGUUUGGUGAAGAAAGGGGUGGAAUAAAGGCUCAAAGAGAUUUGUCACAGUUAGGGGGGGAAGGAAGAGAAAAUGGAAUACCUUACUGCCAGAUGCUGAGAAAGAGGAACCUCAGGAAGAGUGGAGAAAGAAAGAUGCAGCCUUGGCAGAAUAUGCAAGUCUCCUGGGAUAGGAGGGCAAUGCAGUACGUAAACCAUGGAAAGUGAUAAUGGAAGUUACAGAGGCCUUUGGGGCCUGGAGCUCUAUUGAUAUUGCAGCUUGGCUGCAAGGAGACAGAUUGAAAAUAAAAGCAUUAAAGAUCGUUUUUCACCUGGAUGAGCUCUGCCCUCCACUUCACCAUACAGCAAGUCAGAAGCAUGCCCUGACACAGUGCCAGGAGCAGCAGGGGUAACGACAAGCUGCCAGGGAGAGAAAAAGUCUCCUUGUCUAGUACUGCUGCCAUAUAGGUAACCGUGGUAUUUAGUGACUAGCUAACACUGAUAAUACUUAUCCCAUGCCUGCCCUCUUCCAUGGGACAUAGGAGGGCAUCUACGAUUUUGUGUCUGGCUGUACUGAAAAUUUUGUCACCUGAAAGGCUGUAGACUUUCAUGCCAGUCUUAGCAGUGGUAAAGAGGUAAGCAGGAAGGUGUUGAUACCAAAAGAGAGAGGAGGAUGUGGUGGUAGUAGCCAGUAUUACAGACUGGAAUACUCAGCUAGUACUAUGACAAAAACCCAACUGGAAAAUUUCCCUGGAGUACUAGAUGGGAUCAAGAUCAGCAAUCUGUGUCUCCAUUUGUCCUGGGCAAGAUCCGUAACCACAAGGACACUUCCAAGCAGUAGGACUUCUUUCAGUUUCUACUGUGGAAGCACUUUCAAUUACCAUAAAGUAUUUACCUGUUUUUAAGCAUAUACUGACUGGUGCAUUUGCUUCCUUUGUGGAUGUACUAUGCUCCAAGAUAUGAUGGCUCUUCUGUUUUUAUGGGUCUGGGAAUAUCUUAUAAACUCACAGGAAGAAACUUGAGCUUCUACUAAAGGAAGAAAUAUCUGCUGUGAAUACGAUGGGAAAUGUGUACUCCAGAUAAAGAUAGCGAGGCAGGCCAGCUGGGUGACUGUGAGCUCACAGCUGUUUAUAGGGUGCCUGAGUGCCUGACUGAAGACAACAAAUCUACUAGGGCAUGCAAUAUCUAGAAGUAAGGUAUCAAGAUGCUUCCUGUAGCAGUGUUUAAAAUCCAGGACUUAGCCCUCUGUUGCUACAGAGCAUCUGUCUUUCCCAUUUUCUCUUUCCUGGUUUUCUACUUAUUUUCCUAGUGCUUGCUUAUUUGAUUUGUUUUCUGAGAAUUAGGGCUGUACCAGCUAGAUUUCCCUGUUCUUUUGUUGACUGAAGUACCAAGUGUGAAUGUUGCCUUCAUGAGAGUGUAUUUGUAAAUGGUGUCUGUAAAACUGUUUAGACAUAAUCCUGGCUCUACUGAAAUUAGUGGGAGUUUUGGUGUGUGUCAACAAGGCCAGGAUUUUAUCCCCAGUAAUUAGUACACUGAAAAUGAGUCCACCAAGAUGAUUGCCACAGAGCAGUGUUUUUAUAGAACAGUUUAUUAGCUUUUAAAUCCCAACCAAAGUAUUUUUAUCUUCAGAAGGCAAGAAAAUAUUAACUUUAUUUCAUGUCAUUGCUUAAGCUACAUGCUAAUGAUUGGCCAUUAUUAUAAUGAAAAUCUUUCAGGUACAGAAUGUGCCCAUUACUGAAAAAUGGAAGAUAGAAAAGUAAGAUAGGUCAAUACCAAUAAAGAGCUUGCCACCCUUAGACAACGUAUCAGCAAAAUCGCAAAAACAGAUGUGAUAACACUGCAAAUAUACUCAGGUAUAUUAAUAUCUGUUUAUUCCUAGUGUUAAGUAUCCUAUAUGCUCAUCUCCAUCACUAAAGCAUACGUGCAUCUGCCUCUGAAACACAAAAGGCAGUCAGCUAGCUCAAAUCUUCCUUUUCUUGGUUCUCAAGAGUUUUUAGGGUACUUUCCUUUUUCAUUCACCCAUAUUAUUCAGCACUCUCUGGUAUAGACAGGAGGUAUUACAGCAGCUCGUACUCCCUGUUACUCAGUUGCUGAUUUGACAUUUCUGCUGGCCGUUCUUUUUUUCCAGAUAGAGAGGAGUAAGGGCAUUGUGAACUGUAACCAUUCAGAACUAUGACUAUAGCUGACUGCACUGUCACUUUUUUGGUAAAUUUAUUUGGGCAAGAGAGCAUAAAGAAAUGGGAUACUGGGGAAUGUGCUGGACUAAAUUCUCUCCCCUUCAGGUUGUGCCUCAAAGAUUCAAAACAAAAAAAGGUGGAAGUCAUAGUUAGUUAUCUGUUACAUACUGCAAAGAAAUUCUGCUUCCUUAAAUAAUGUGAUUUCCUUUAAAAAAAAAAAAAAAGAAAUCUGUGU